rnacentral:rRNA from 1 species
GUCGUAACAAGGUCUUCGUUGGUGAACCAGCGGAGGGAUCAUUACCGAGUUUACAACUCCCAAACCCCUGUGAACAUACCAUUCUGUUGCCUCGGCGGAUCACCGCGCCCCGUAACACGGGACGGCCCGCCAGAGGACCCAAACUCUAUGUCUUUAUGUGUAUCCUCUGAGUAACACUAUAAAUAAAUCAAAACUUUCAACAACGGAUCUCUUGGUUCUGGCAUCGAUGAAGAACGCAGCGAAAUGCGAUAAGUAAUGUGAAUUGCAGAAUUCAGUGAAUCAUCGAAUCUUUGAACGCACAUUGCGCCCGCCAGUAUUCUGGCGGGCAUGCCUGUUCGAGCGUCAUUUCAACCCUCAAGCCCCCGGGCUUGGUGUUGGGGAUCGGCACAAAGGCCUCGCCAGAGGACGCGCCGGCCCCUAAAUCUAGUGGCGGUCUCGCUGCAGCCUCCAUUGCGUAGUAGCUAACACCUCGCAACUGGAACGCGGCGCGGCCAAGCCGUUAAACCCCCAACUUUUCUGAAUGUUGACCUCGGAUCAGGUAGGAAUACCCGCUGAACUUAAGCAUAUCAAUAG